rnacentral:rRNA from 1 species
CAAGUCGAACGCGGUUAGUAGCAAUACUAACUGAGUGGCGAACGGGUGAGUAACACGUGGGUGACCUACCUUCGAGUGGGGGAUAACGUCCCGAAAGGGACGCUAAUACCGCAUAACAUCCUGUCCUUGAACGGAUGGAGAUCAAAGCCGGGGAUCGUAAGACCUGGCGCUUGAUGAGGGGCCCGCGUCUGAUUAGCUAGUUGGUGAGGUAACGGCCCACCAAGGCGACGAUCAGUAUCCGGCCUGAGAGGGCGGACGGACACACUGGGACUGAGACACGGCCCAGACUCCUACGGGAGGCAGCAGUGGGGAAUUGUUCACAAUGGGCGCAAGCCUGAUGACGCAACGCCGCGUGGAGGAUGAAGGUCUUCGGAUUGUAAACUCCUGUUGCUCGGGACGAAAAGCCUCGACCUAAUACGUCGAGGUCUGACGGUACCGAGUGAGGAAGCCCCGGCUAACUCUGUGCCAGCAGCCGCGGUAAUACAGAGGGGGCAAGCGUUGUUCGGAAUUACUGGGCGUAAAGGGCGCGUAGGUGGCCCGCUAAGUCGAACGUGAAAUCCCCGAGCUCAACUCGGGAACUGCGUCCGAUACUGGCGGGCUUGAAUCCCGGGAGAGGGAUGCGGAAUUCCAGGUGUAGCGGUGAGAUGCGUAAAUAUCUGGAGGAACACCGGUGGCGAAGGCGGCAUCCUGGACCCGGCAUUGACGCUGAGGCGCGAAAGCUAGGGGAGCAAACGGGAUUAGAUACCCCGGUAGUCCUAGCCCUAAACGAUGAAUGCUUGGUGUGGCGGGUAUCGAUCCCUGCCGUG